rnacentral:rRNA from 1 species
GCAUAUCAAUAAGCGGAGGAAAAGAAACCAACAGGGAUUGCCCCAGUAACGGCGAGUGAAGCGGCAACAGCUCAAAUUUGAAAUCUGGCCCUCUGGGUCCGAGUUGUAAUUUGCAGAGGAUGCUUUUGGCGAGGUGCCUUCCGAGUUCCCUGGAACGGGACGCCAUAGAGGGUGAGAGCCCCGUACGGUCGGAUACCGAGCCUCUGUAUAGCUCCUUCGACGAGUCGAGUAGUUUGGGAAUGCUGCUCUAAAUGGGAGGUAAAUCUCUUCUAAAGCUAAAUACCGGCCACAGACCGAUAGCGCACAAGUAGAGUGAUCGAAAGAUGAAAAGCACUUUGAAAAGAGAGUUAAACAGCACGUGAAAUUGUUGAAAGGGAAGCGCUUGUGACCAGACUUGCGCUAGGCAGUUCAGCCCUCGUUCUCGUGGGUGUAUUCUGUCUAGCACAGGCCAGCAUCAGUUCAUCGUCAGGGAGAAAGGCUUUGGGAAUGUGGCUCUUCGGAGUGUUAUAGCCCAUUGUGUAAUACCUAUCGUUGGACUGAGGUUCGCGCUCUGCAAGGAUGCUGGCGUAAUGGUCAUCAGCGACCCGUCUUGAAACACGGACCAAGGAGUCGUCCUAGUAUGCGAGUGUACGGGUGUAAAACCCCUGCGCGAAAUGAAAGUGAACGGAGGUGAGAGCCUUUGGCGCAUCAUCGACCGAUCCUGAUGUCUUCGGAUGGAUUUGAGUAAGAGCAUACUGGGCCGGACCCGAAAGAAGGUGAACUAUGCCUGUAUAGGGUGAAGCCAGAGGAAACUCUGGUGGAGGCUCGCAGCGGUUCUGACGUGCAAAUCGAUCGUCAAAUAUGGGCAUGGGGGCGAAAGACUAAUCGAACCUUCUAGUAGCUGGUUUCUGCGA